UCUAAGCCCUUUUGCUGUUCAUUUCUUCCCUACACUCCAAAGCAAUGUCCAUUUCUGAUGUCAGCAGGAGUGCAAUCCACAAACCUUUAGACUCAGGUGGCCCUUGUUUCUGAGACACAGAGUAAGAGAUGCAGAGAAGCAUUUCGCUGGGGUAUGAAUGAUGUUAGUCAUAAGAGCAGAUAGUGAGGAUUAUGGGUCAUGCUGUGCCACUGCUGAGUGACAGAGGUGCCCCAUGUGUCUGUAAUAAACCAACUG